GGGGGAGGCCCAAUGAAAAAAGGAGAGUGAAAGGCAAGGGACAAAUCAGAAAAGAGAGAGAAGGAGAGGGACAAAGAUAGAGGAAGGGUUGGUGGAGUCUUCUUCUUUCCCUCAGUUUUCUUUUUUGCAGCUCCAAAACGAAGGAGGAAGGAGACGAAGAAGGAAUUCGUAAAAUUCUGUUUGUUGAGCUUUUGGUGACUGAAGAAAUAAACAAAGAAGGAGAGAUGGAGGACACAAUUGCAGCAAGAUUCGAUGGACUUCAUGUUGGUCCAGUCAUUAUGAUGUCCUUCAGAUUAGCAAGAUUACCAAGAGAUUAUACAUAUAAAUGGUGUUGUCGACGCUUGCUACAUAUAUAUUUGAAUUGAAACUGCCACGAUAUAUUUGGAGUUCUUGGUUUUGUUUAGGGUUUUCUACCAUUCAAUGAAGCAGUCUGAACAUGAAUCAAUGGUGAGAUGCAUGUCGUUGUCUAACUCAUCUUCAGCUCUGUCUCUUUCACUCUUGAGGUACCUGCUGUUGGAGUACGUUUGCUGUUGUCGAUCUACAGGUAAUCAGGUAUUGCAUAUUUUGAAAACUUCGAUUAAUUUUUUCAUGUUCUUUUCUGGUGAGAAGGUUAGGGAUAAGCUCUGCACCCAAACUCGAGAGUGACCCACCCUGUUUGCUCUGUUUUUGGAUUUCAUUUUUUAAUUUGAUAUUUUGUUUGCAGCCACUGGAAAGAGGCCGCAUGAAAAUUUCUCUUCUGGGAGUUAUGAAGGAGUUAGGGAGGAAGAACAGAGUCUUGCCGUCAGAUUUAGCUCUUCUAGAGGCAGUGUUGGCGUUUAGAUGAUGAGGAAGUAGGCGCUGAGGAGGAAAUGGCGAAGUUGGAGGACCAAAAGGUCCAUAUGAAAGCCGAAGAAUCCAAAGGAACUGCGGUCCAGUGGCUGGAUAGAAGAAAAGGACAAUGCAUGCUCUCUCUCUCUCACGGUAGCUCCGUGUUCCUCUCCCCCCAAACCUAAUGGCUUCGGCCCAAUUCGGAGCCUGCUCGGAUCGGGACCUCUUGGAGAUUCGGAGCUCCAGAUGGUAGCAAAUUUGCUAUGUCAACUCCUACAAGGAAGAGGCUGAUGAGAGACUUCAAGAGGCUGCAACAAGACCCGCCCGCAAGGAUUAGCUGGGGGCCUCAGGAUAACAAUAUAAUGUUGUUGACGAGGUUAGUUAUAUUUUAGGCUCUACUUCUGCAAAUGUGAACUCUUUACGUGGAUACCUAAUUUUAUGUGAGUUUUAAUAGUUAUAUAUCAAACUCCACUGCACUAAACUCUGUGAACAAUUAUAAUUAGAACUUGGAUGAAAUGGGUUCCAUCCAGCAAAACUCUUGCCCUAUUAAAAAAAUAUAAAAAACUUAAAGAAAAUUUGAUAAUUUCUCAUAGUUUAGGCCAUUUAUCCAAGUCAGAAUGAGAAACACAGAUGUUUUCUGUAUCUUUAGGCUAUAUUUUUAGCUGUAAAUCGUAUGGAGUAAAUCUCUUGGUGUCAUUCUAAAUAGACUGGAAAUAUGUCUCAAGCAAAAUUUACGUUGAUGUUUAUCAAUGGAAAUAAGUUUUGAAGUGAUUACCUUUCUUUAUACAAGUUCUCUUCACAAAGAAACCUAUAUUAUGGUUUCACUUUUACUUGCUUUGGCACGGGGGGAGGUGUCUGGUCAUGUAAUUGGCGUGUCAUUACACACUACAUUUUUAUUAUCCUUAUCUUCUAUAUUAAUAUCACCAUUCUCACCCGAAGGUUGCCUCUUCCAAGUCGGUAUUUGAUGAUCUCCAAUCCCUUUUGUGUGAUUUCUCUGAUUUGAAUCUCGGAUGGUUCCUCAGGGAGGGCAGAUUUUUGGGUUUUUGGUUUUUAGGACCCUUCAAUUUUGUUUUGUUUUAACUUUUGAGGUAUGAUUUUAUAGAAAUUAACGGUUGGAAUUAACUUUGGUAAUCUUGAUUUUGGUUUGGUUCAGCUAGGGUGUAGUUGAGUCCACUUAUUAGUUAUUAAGAACUUAAUAUAUAUGUAGUUGUCCUGUUUGGCUUUGGCGUUUUGAUUGGGUGUUUGUUUGGAUUUUGGGAAUUACCAUUGAUAGAUAGCAUUCAAGCAAGAUGCAUAACUCAUACCCACAUUUUUUUUUCAUAUUCCUUUUCUGCCAUCUCUUAUUUAGAUUUGUGUAAUUGGUUGGCUCAAAGAUGGUUUACAAGGCAAGGCUCUAUAUUCAUCUUCAGAUUGGUCCAUAUAUUUGUUCAGAAUGGAAUUUUGGGUAAUGAUCAUUUUCCUCAGCAGUUUGUUGUUUCAUCAAAGAUAUAGUCCGACAAUUGCUCGGGUGACAAUGUCCUUUGGUGACUGGUUGGAUUAGCCCACUUUUUUGUUGGUAUAUAUUUUCUUAUGUGGCUUUCUGUAUAUAUUAGACUUCUUCUACUGUAAUUUAACAGAUUUAAUAGUUACUUCAUUCAAUGAAUAGCUCUUCGGUAUCCAUUUUGAAAUCA